rnacentral:tRNA from 1 species
GGAAGGAUGGCAGAGCGGUUGAAUGCGGCGGUCUCGAAAACCGUUAGGCAGCAAUGCCUCGCAGGUUCGAAUCCUGCUCCUUCCG